GACGAACGCUGGCGGCGUGCUUAACACAUGCAAGUCGAACGGAAAGGCCCUGCUUUUGUGGGGUGCUCGAGUGGCGAACGGGUGAGUAACACGUGAGUAACCUGCCCUUGACUUUGGGAUAACUUCAGGAAACUGGGGCUAAUGCCGGAUAGGAGCUCCUGCUGCAUGGUGGGGGUUGGAAAGUUUCGGCGGUUGGGGAUGGACUCGCGGCUUAUCAGCUUGUUGGUGGGGUAGUGGCUUACCAAGGCUUUGACGGGUAGCCGGCCUGAGAGGGUGACCGGCCACAUUGGGACUGAGAUACGGCCCAGACUCCUACGGGAGGCAGCAGUGGGGAAUAUUGCACAAUGGGCGGAAGCCUGAUGCAGCAACGCCGCGUGCGGGAUGACGGCCUUCGGGUUGUAAACCGCUUUCGCCUGUGACGAAGUGUGAGUGACGGUAAUGGGUAAAGAAGCACCGGCUAACUACGUG
rnacentral:rRNA from 1 species